GCUUCAAAAACAUGGUGAAUUGUAUUAAUAUUCUUAAGAAAUACGUUGAAACAUUGAAGUAGUAGUUAAAAUGUCCAGUUCAUGGUUAUCUGUCCCUACACAUAUACACCCCCUACUUUCAUAAUGAAAUGGACCAGUCCGUGACGGUGCGCGGCGCGAAAGAUAAACACACAGUGACAGGAGGACUGGGAAGUACACAAACAGAGACGAAGCAAGACGCGAAAAUGAAACGAUGUUACCCAAGCGGCUCAAAUUAGAGAAAAAAACGAAAAGACACAGAUAAGUAUUUGGCAACGCUGCUGAAGAUGACACACUUUUUUACGGCUACUGUUGUUGGGGUUGGGGAUGCAGACAGCCCAAAGCGUUGAACAUGCCGCUACAGCAGCAUCAGCAACAGCUAGCUGUGAAGUGGCGCUAGUUGUAGUUGAGGAUAACAUUAACCAAGAAAUCAAUGAAAAGGACAUCACGUUGUUGCCGCCCGCCGUCACCGACAGUGUUAUCGACUUUGACACAGAUGAGGUGGAAGAGUUGUCCAGUGAUGGCCAUUUUGACACCGAUGAUGACGAUGAUGGGGCUUUGAUUGGAUGGGGGGGGCCCCAUACAUACCUUCGCCUUGGGCCCCCAAUUUGCUAAAUCCGCCACUGCCCGAUGACCUUCAGCCAAUGAGAGACAAAGAUACAGGGCAGAGGGAAGUUUGGUGAGGAGUUAUAGACCAUAUCAGUAUUUUAAUAUGUACAAUUAUAUCAUACAGAAACAAGCAGAAACGCUUGACCAGCCGCAACAUCAGCAUAACAGUUACUGCAAAUUAUUAUUUACCAGAACACAAUCCCUGUUCCCUGCAUCUCCCUCCUGCAUAAUCUGUUUUUGUUUUUGUAGCUGGAAAUCAGCGCACAGACCAUUUGCAGGCUAUAUUUUUUAAUACUUCCAGUCUCGCUCGAGAACAACGGUCUGACGCACGCGGGUUCUCGCGUUAUUUCCUUAUCACUUCUCGCGUAGUUUGCAGAUCAGACAGAGUUGUCGGCGAUUCUUCCUAUUGUGAAAUCGUGCAAUGUGAAAGCCCCUGUCGCCGAUCCAUCGUGCAAUGUGAACACAGCAGCGACUGAAUGCUACCCCAGAUAGUCAUGCAGUGUGAAAACAACAGCGAUCCGACGAGUUUGAAAAUCGUGCAGUGUGAACUCGGCAUUAAACAACGCAAAACGCAGAAAUUUUGAGUUUCUGCUACUGAUUCCUAUCGAGAAAAAUCACUUCCUGCCCUCCAGCUGCAUUUUGCGCGUCAUCAGUGACGUCAUGUGCAAACAACCUAUUGGCUAAAUAUGUUAUCAGACACACCUACCAUGGCUGAGUGUUGGCAGAGCUAACACGUGACCGACCACUUCUACAAUCGGAUUGGCCAACCCGUACUGCUCUGGAAAAAAAAUUGUCAAAAAUUGGUAAGAGUUAACUCCACUGGAAAUAUUGUUCUUUUUUUAUUUUUUAGAGAGCGGUCGUUAUUACUUGCAUGUUAACCAAAAUCGCUAUCUCAAUUUUCUUCUCAGCCUAAACAUAACAUGUUUGAUCAAGCACAUUACCGCCCCUUGCCUGGCAACGGGAGCAGUGCGCUGCUGGGUCCCAGCUAACACACGCCAACAGUUACGUAAUUUAUUUGUAAUUUUUGGUAAUUUCAUGACUUACCAACAGACAACGUUACCACAACGUCGUAUGUUCGUAAUUCCAUUACCAUCCCAUUACCAACUCACAACGUCGUCAGUACGUCCUCAUAACGUAACAAGAUCACCAAAAACGUCCCAGACAGGUCCUCUAUUCGUAAUAAUUUGGUAAUUUCAUGACUUACUGACAACAUAACUGCAACGUGACUAGCCAUAAUUUAAUUAAACUGCAUUUCUUUUAAAGAUUUUAUUGCUAUUGCUAUUAUUUAUGCUAGUUUUUGAAACACUACAAAAAAAUGCACAAUUUCAACUCUUUUUGUGAACGUUCCUAAAAUAUUGUGCUUGACAUUUUCAUUCAUUUACAGUUUUAUUUAUUUAUUUAUUUAUUUUAUUAUUAUUAUUUUUUAAAUAAAGAAUUGACUAAACUGCCCAAGUUUUCCUUGUGGCCCCUUAGAAAAUUAAUUGCCCACCCCUGGUCUACAUGCAAGAAGGCUUUCUAAUGAAAUAAGGUGGUUGAGUGUUCAUUAAAAAAAAAAAAAGUGUGAGUCAAAUGCAGAGUGCCAUAGAACUACAUUUAAAUAAAUUAAAUGUAUGAUUCAAUAAUAAUUUAAUUAGAUUGUUAUUUAUUUAUGUAAUGUUCUAAUUUUAUAUGAUUAUUUAUGUAAAUUCUGCGUGACUAUGACGAGCUGAACUUUCGAACCGCGUUCAAACACUGGAGCGGAGGGAGUUGCCAUGGUAACGGGGCGUCAACACAACGACUGUCAAGCAAGAAGCUCCGUUUCUCGCUGCUGUUUUUACUGUUUUCGAAGAAAAAAAACACAGCAACAUGGGAGGCUCCAAGAUUUCAUAAUUUCUGAAGGGAGCCGCAGACGGAGAAGUAAGGAACACAAGUGAACAGACUCAGAGCGGACGUCCUGUCGGACAACAUCUCCCAGGUUACUAGAGAUUACACCAGUUCCAGUUUGGAUCCAGCCUUGCGUGUGAUGUCUUCAGAAGACGCUAGCACUCACAAAGACUUCAGAUGAUGGCAACUAGAUGAACAUACAAAGCUGCCAAAUAAUCCUUAUAUUGUAAUCAUUGCCCUAAAAGGGAGGAACUUGUCAACAAACCUCACAGCGCAUCAAUGAAAGCAGUUUGACAAUUACAGAUGGGUGUGUUGGGUCAGGGUUAGAUCUGAAUUCUGCAGGUUUUUUGGAUUCCCAGUUGAAGACAUCAGUACAUCAGAUGUUGGCCUGGACAGCUGUAUCUACAGUACACCACACUGACCUCUCUUCUUUUGCAUAGAUGGCUGACUACUACCAUGUUCUAUAGUGUUAUUGGUAUUAUGUUCUAAGGUAUUAUUAUAUUAAAACUGAGCACCUGUGACAGUGGAAUUUGUAGUUGUAAAGAAUAGACACAUGCGUAUUACAGGUAGUAAAUUUAAAGUCACAGUUUUUUUUUUUUUUUAGGAGUUCCAAAUGUUGUUUUUUUUACUCUUUCUCUCUAACAAACACAACACAACAGUUACAUAAUUUAAAAUUCUGAGGUGCACGAAUCAUAUUCUACAAAUAACAAAUUAAGAAACUCAUGUGAAUGUGGGGCAAAACACAUUCACACACCCAAAUAAAAAAUGUGAAGUCAUGAACAAAUUUUGCACAUUUGCAUAUAUACAGUCAUAGUCAGAAUUAUGGACACCCUUGGUAAAUAUGAACAAAGAAGCCUGUGAAAAUAAAUCUGAAUUGUCAAUCCUUUUUGAUAAAACAUGAAAAAAGGGGUAGGGGGAAGCUCAUUAAUUUCUAGUGAUUAUCGCCGAUUUGGUUGCACAGAUACUAUUUAAACUAAACUGAGCUAGACAAUGACAUCUCUGAAUUAACUGGCGACGUCACGAAGUUACGUUGUAGCAACGUAUCCGGGAAUUUCACUUUUCCGGUUGUCGCAACGUAACUAGUUACUUUGUCACAACGAAAGUUUUGUCGUCAAAUUACGUUGCAGUUACGUAACAAUCACGUAUUAUGGUUAGCUGGGGUACCAUGCAUUUUACCCGGGCAAUGGCACGGAGGGGAAACGCUGAGGGCGAAGAAGGAGAAGAUUCCACAAACAAAAGUGGUAAGUUGUGUUUAUAAAUGAAAAAAAAAAAAAAAAGUUUACAUGAAGCUGAUAUGUCGCGUGACGCAAUUAUAUACAAAGUCAAUUAAAAGACGCAAAUUGAUACAAAUUUGUGCUGGACGAUGCGUCACGGGAGCAUAAUUAAUGGGAGACGUAAUUAAGGUCAUAUAAUGCAUACAACUUUUGACUCUGUGCUUACGAGGUUUGGACCUUUUUCCCCUCUGACAUGUAUUAGUAAUUUUUCAUGCUAUAUUUUGCAGCUGAUAAGAUGGACAGUCUCAAGCCUGUUAAACAACAUAUUCUCUGGAAAAAGAAGGCUGAGAUGCUCCAGUCUCGCGUGGAUGAGCUGGAGGAGGAAAAUGGCUUGCUCAAGAAGCAACUUGAAGAUAAGUCUGCACAAGAGUACACAAGUAUGUAGAGGUAGAGCAGAUGACUCUCCAGAACUUGUGUGGGCUUCAAAAUAAUUCUGCCAGUAUCACUACAAUAUUUUAGCCAUGUUUAAAAAUAUUAUUGCCAGCCUUUCCAUAUUAUUUUUCUACCCAGAGGGUGAAGUCACACUUUAAAGUUUGUUUGUGUUUGUUUCAUCAUUUCACAGAUGGGAACAUGGAGAUUACAGCCACUGAAGAUGAGGAGCCACAGGCCAUGAUGUUGGACUCCAGCACUGAUAGUAGCACCGAUUCAAGCUCUGAUGACUCCAGCUCUGACUCCAGCUCCAGCUCUACCUCUGACUCUUCGGAUGAGGAAAAGAAGAAAAAGAAGCGUAAAAAGAAGAAUGGCAAGAAGAGAAGCAAAAAGACGAAGAAAUCAGGCAGAAAAGGAGAGCAAGAUAUGUGCUGUCCGGACAUCCUCUCCAGUGUCCUCUAGAGCUAUUUGAUAGUUCAACGGACCAAGCUGCUUCAGGAUACGCUGAUGGAGAUGAUGAACCACAUCAUAGGAAGCAGUGUCUGGAGUUAAAUUACGGCCAUGAAGCAUUUUGUCCAUUGGACCUUGGAGUUUUCUGCCAAGCUGGAGUUCUGCUGGGGAUAGUGCAGUGGUUUCUUGGAUGCCUGAAUUCAGGGC